AGAAAUGUGACCUGCUGACUGAUUCUGCAUCCUCUAUUGUGGGUCAUGCUGGACCUUCCUGAUGACUUCUUAUGGUCUCUCUUGUCUUCCUCAGCCUGGAGCCAGCCUCAAACAUACAACAAAAUCCAUUCAGGAACAUCAAAGGAGCGAGGUUUUUCAGCUAUGGUAGAUGCAAACCUUCCACCCACGCCCUGCAUUUGAUGGGCAUCUAGAAUAAGAUACGUCAACUUCCAGAAAGAUUUUGUCAAAACGACACAACUGAUGAAGACUUCAGACUCACCAGACAGUCCUGUCCCAAGGAACAGAAGACAAGCCAGCUGCUGUUCCAUUACCUGAAGGAGAUUAAUACCAAUGGGACUAAUUCCCCUAUACAAGGAGAACCUGCAUGAUGAGAAGAGCAAAAGAAGUUGUAUGUCCACAGAACUUGCAGAAGUCUCAAGAAAACUCCUUCUGAACUCAGUGUGUGUUGGAACCCAUCUCCUAGCAUCUCGCUUUACAUCACCGCAGUGCCAUCAUCACCUAUUUUCUGAGACAUGGAUUUUCACUCUGUCCAUGCUGGUUAAUACCAGCAAAUCAUUCCAGGCAGGAGGUAAGCUAAAAUAUGUCUUGGUCUAUGUCUUUUUCAGCCCCUUCUUCAGGUAAGUGCAUU
rnacentral:lncRNA from 1 species